rnacentral:rRNA from 1 species
GAUGAACGCUGGCGGCGUGCCUAAUACAUGCAAGUCGAGCGAACAGACGAGGAGCUUGCUCCUCUGACGUUAGCGGCGGACGGGUGAGUAACACGUGGAUAACCUACCUAUAAGACUGGGAUAACUUCGGGAAACCGGAGCUAAUACCGGAUAAUAUAUUGAACCGCAUGGUUCAAUAGUGAAAGACGGUUUUGCUGUCACUUAUAGAUGGAUCCGCGCCGCAUUAGCUAGUUGGUAAGGUAACGGCUUACCAAGGCGACGAUGCGUAGCCGACCUGAGAGGGUGAUCGGCCACACUGGAACUGAGACACGGUCCAGACUCCUACGGGAGGCAGCAGUAGGGAAUCUUCCGCAAUGGGCGAAGGCCUGACGGAGAAACGCCGCGUGAGUGAUGAAGGUCUUCGGAUCGUAAAACUCUGUUAUUAGGGAAGAACAAAUGUGUAAGUAACUAUGCACGUCUUGACGGUACCUAAUCAGAAAGCCACGGCUAACUACGUG